UGAAAACGGUGGGGGACUGAGGGGCCGACAAUUUAGAUGGGCUCCGACCACCUCCUACGAUACAUGGGAGUCAGUAUCAUCGCUUUGGUCAGCUAUGGGUCUGCGCAUCCCCAUCAGCCUUUUAAGUGGAGCUUGAUCAGAUGGGAGGAUUAAUUCAUCAUCCAGCAAACAACGACAGCAGGUGCUCCCAGUUUCCGCAUCACAUUAUGUGACCUGGUGUCAGUGCAGCCAUGCUUUAACCGAUCAGGAUUUUAUUUCUGCCCAAGUUCUAACCCAGAAAAGGGGUGCUGUAAAUGCCCGAACGUGUAUUACUGUGCAUACUGGGGGUGUGAAACCAUUUCUACGGACUGGACACUCAGGGCUGGUCGGGAUAAAUUUUUACAAGUGGGAUAUGGGCCACAAGGUUGUAACCAACAAGCAGAUCCCCGUUACAGGUGGCGAGGGCAUGGUAUAGGGUAUACAGGAACCUUCCACGGAAAUAAAGAAAUUUGCAAGGUUCUAUAUAUAAAUAUAACAAACUUGGAUGAUACUAGCUGGGUACUAGGAAAAAUGUGAGGUGUCAGAUUUUACAAACACAGAACAGAUAGGGGAGGACUCGUACUAAUAAAAAGGAGGAUGCCGAUAGGCCCCAGGCAGUAGGACCAAAUGAGGUAUUGUCAGAAAGUGUCCAGGGAAUCCAGCCUGUGGAAAAUACUACAGUGCCAACCCUCGGCAGCCCUACGAGCUCAGGUGAUAAUUAUACCAAGGAUUCUAUACCACCCUGAGGAUUGUAUGUAUACCCAGCACACAGUGGCAAGGCAUCAUCUGGAAAGACGGGAACGGUUCACGGCUCUAACUUUGGCCACCCUAAUAAUCCUGGGAGGAGCUGGAGUGGGGACCAGGGUAGCCUCAUUGGUUAAACAAAAUCAAGAAUUUACUUCCUUACGCAUUGCUGUGGACGAGGACCUGACCCAAAUUGAACAAUUCAUCUCGGCCCUGGAAAAUCUAUCAGGCCGUUUUCAGAGGUAGUGUUACAAAAUUGUAGGGGAUUAAAUUUGGUAUUUUUUACAACAGGACGGGCUGUGUGCAGCCCUGAAAGAGGAGUGCUAUAUGUAUACUGAUCACACUGGAGUGGUAAGAAAUACAAUGGCAAGACCCAGGGAAG
rnacentral:lncRNA from 1 species